CAAAUCGCCUUGGGGUGGCUAACACCUGAGAUCUCGCGCAAGUGAGAAACCCAAUGAACCUGACCCAGAUAAUGCUGGCGUAGGGACAGGCAGAGCAUCUACAA
rfam:Methylophilus sp. Leaf416 contig_1, whole genome shotgun sequence.